CCCAGCCUCUUGGCUGAGACUCCCCUUUCCGGAGAGUCCGGAGGGAGGUGGGGGCAGCUUGAGGUACGCCUCCCCUGCCCCUCCCCUCCCCUGAUAGAUCAAGGAGGAUCCUAGGUAUUCGGGAAUGGGGAGUGAGAUGUUCUGAUGUCAGCAGGACUGGGGCCUGCUGCAGCGAUGGCAUAUUUGCCAGGUGUGUCCAUGCAGACCAAGUGGAAAGCAUCUGAAAAGGGAUUGAGCAACAAACUUGACACAAUGUGGUGCUGUUUCACAGUCCUUGAGGUAGGACUUGCUACUCAUGCCUUUUGAAAGGUGUUUUAGGGGGCAACUGGAUGACUCAGUGGAUUGAGAGUCAGGCCUAGAGAUGGGAGGUCUUGGAUUUAAAUCUGACCUCAGAUACUUCCUAGCUGUGUGACCCUGGACAAGUCAUUUGACCUCCAUUGCCUAGCCCUUACCACUCUUCUGCCUUAGAACCAAUACACAGUAUGGAUUCUAAGAUGAAAGGUAAGAGUUCUUUAAAAAAUAAAUAAAUAAAAGGUGUUUAAAAAUUUAUGGAUGGAACCGAAAAAGUGAAUCUAUGACAGUCUUUUGGGGAUAGAGGAAUGUGGAAGAAACAAUCUUUGAAAAAUCAAUAACUAUGAGAUUCUGAUCUAUGGGAAUUGGGCUAGGACAGGAGAUGCCUGGUUGUCUUGUCCCCAUGUUAAGCAUUUGUUCAUUUACCUUUUUUUUAAGAUUUUAAAAUUUUAUUUUAUUUUUUAAAAUUGUAUUUAAUGAGAUGAUUUAGAAUAAUUUUCCAUGGUUACAAGACUCAUGUUCCUUCCCUCCCCUCCCCCACCCCUUCCAUAUAUGAUGCACAAUUCCACUGGAUUUAACAUGUGCCAUCAAUCAAGACCCAUUUCCUUAUUAUUAGUAUUUGCACUAGGGUGAUCUUUUAGAGUCCACUUUCCCAGUCAUAGCCCCACCGACCCAUGUAAACAAGCAGUUGUUUUUCUUCUGUGUUUCUACUUCCACAGUUUUUCCUCUGAAUGUGGAUAGUGGUUUUUCUCAUAGAAUCCUCCAAGUUCUUCAGGAUCACUGCAUUGCCACUAAGGGAGAAGUCCAUUACAUUGGAUUGUACCACAGUGUAUCAGUCUCUGUGUACAUUGUUUUCCUGGUUCUGCUCCUCUCGCUCUGCAUCACUUCCUGGAGGUUGUUCCAGUCUCCAUGGAAUUCCUCCAGUUCAUCAUUCCUUUCAGCACAAUAGGAUUCCAUCACCAACAGAUACCACAAUUUGUUCAGCCAUUCCCCAAUUGACGGGCAUCUCCUCAUUUUCCAGUUUUAUGCCACCACAAACUGUGAGGCUAUGAAUAUUCUUGUACAAGUCUUUUUCCUUAUUAUCUCUUUGGGGUUCAUUUACCUCUCUUAAGUCAUGAACCUAUCUCCAUUUUCCUAACUUUUUAGGGAUGAGGAAGACAGGUGUGUUCCAUGCACUAUUGGACUAUUUGAUAUGUCCCAAAUCUACCUGUUCUUGUAUUAAUUUAUUCAAAUGAUGGAGUUUCUCUCUAGAUAUAGGCCACCUGAUUGACCCACACUGGCUUGGAAUCAUUCCAAGUUAUUGGAUCUGCAAAUUUGGUUGUGGAGUCCAUUAUGGACCCUAAAAAUUUUAUUUGUGUCAAAUUGGAUGUGGUUAGUGUCAAAUUCAUUUCAGCUAAAACAUCUCUUCCCCAAAGAGAUUGUGGAAUAUCUAAGCUAUUAGGCUGAAAUAUCCCCUUGUGCCUUUCAUCAUCAGACCAUGCUAAUUCUCUGGAAGUUGUUGGCUUCCCUUGGGCACCUCAAUUUCAAUUAAUUGAUGCUGAGGUGAAAUAGUUUCCCAAGAUUCCGGCCAAUUUUUUAUAGAGAUUACAGAUAUGUCUGUGCCAGAAUCCAAAAUGCCUGUCAUAAUUUGAUUCUCUACAUAAAGAGACAAGAUUAAUGUCUUUUGUAAUUCUUUGUGUCCAAAAUAAAUUUGAAGUAUGUGCAUUAAAAUGCUCUGUUUACUUACUGCCUUCUGUAAUUAGGGGAGUAUUAGGCAGUAAAAGCAAAGUCGUUAAUUCCAUUCCUUUUGUGAUAGUGAAUGGGGAGAUAGCUUUAGCUAAGAUAUUUACUGUCCCUUCCAUCCGGUAGUCAAUAACCUGAGGAAAAAAUUCUAAUCCUUAUGCAAGCAAAUUGUUUUUACCUUACAAUAAUCCUGUAAACUCCUGAGAAAUCGAGAAGUCAAGGUUAGCAGGCAGGGAUGGUGCACAUUCCCAUUUGAACUGUAAUCACUGGAUCUAAAUUUGCCCCUGUAGAAACCUUGUUCUCAUUUUGAGUUGGGAAAGGAGUCAUGGCCAUUUCCAAUUUUCUAGGAGUGGCCUUUUUCUGCCUUGUGUUCUCCUGGGGCUUGAGGCCUGCCUGGAAAUUAGUUUUUUGGAAUCUGACUUGGAUCAGUUAUGUUCUAGUUAGGGAGUGCUCUGUAUCUGCGGUGAUGGCCAUAGAUUUCCUCUAUGACACUUUGGGUAUGGACCGAAAGGGGUUUUUUUUGUGGCUUGGGGCAAGACCUUCAGAAAUGGGCUGAUUGUUUGCAGGUGAAACAGGGACCAGUAGGUCGUUUAAAGUAUGCUGCUAGGAUAUUUUCAUGUUCCAGUGUGCCUAUAAGCUGGCAAGCCCUGAUGAAGUCUGAUACUGAACCUGCUGCCUUAAUGGGAGCCAGUGCCUUUUUGGAGUCCAAAUGAGAAUUUCUAUAGGCAAGCUCUUUUAAGAGAAUGUCUGUGGCUCCUUCAUGAGCAAUAUGGCAUGGCUGUGGACAGUCUGUCUACGAAAUCAGCGACCUUUUCUGGGGGCCUUUGCCUAAUAUCUGUAUAUGAAUUGGCCCCUUUUUCUUUUUCUGGCAAAGAUUGCCACACCCUUUUUGCUGCUAAGGCAACUUGAUUAUAAAUCUGCUCUUUAUAUAAUAUUUGCCUUUCAAGGAUUCCAAAUUCUCCUUCUCCUACCAACUGACCAUAAGAAAUCCAGCCUGUCUGUUCACUCUAGCGUGUUCUUUACAUAAAUCUUGACAUUUUAAUUUCCAAUUUAAAUAGUCGCCCCCAUUAAGCAUAGACUGCUAAAACAUGGCAGUCAUCUGGUAUAAGAAAGUGCUGACUGCUGUUUCUGAUCAGUGCCAUGGGGAAGGGAGCUGUAUUCUCAUUCUGUACUACGCCAUCUCUGAGAGCUUUAAGGGUCUUGAAUUUGAAAUUUCUGUGCUCUGCCAGUUGUUCAUUUGGGUUCUGAUGAUUAUCUCUUCUUAGCUUUCCAGGAAAUGCUAGGAAUUUGGCUCUGUCCUCUGGUGGUACUCUCUCUAUCACCUGUCUGACUGUGACUACUUGGGUGCUUUGGGUGGUGGAGGCUGGCGAGGAGGGUGAGGCUGAAUAUUAGAGGAGUGAAUAUCAGAGUGGAGUGGAGGUGUGGAAGGAACCGGCGUAGCAGGUACCUGAGUAGGGGAAAGUAUGGAUGGCUGUGGCCGGGAAGCCAUAGCCACAGCUGGGACAGGAUUUGGUGUUGAUAGAGAAGAGUAAAAGGUGCUGGAAGGAGAGAGUGAAGCUGAGCAGCAGGGGCUGGGGGAGGAGGAGUAAAGGCAGCUUCAGCAGCAGCAUCUCAGGGAAUAGCCAUGGAGGGACUAGGAAAGCUAGGAGGAGUUGGGUGAAGUACGUUAGGGGAAGGCGCCGGUGGAGCCGUAGCUGCAAUGUUCACAAGCACAGCUGGGGGAAGCCUAGGUAGUGGAGAAAGAAGGGUUGGGUGUAGGACUAAAUGGUGGGCUGGAUGAGUUGGAAAAUUCUAAUAAGGGGGCAGGUUGAUCCAUGGAAUUCUGGAUUGGCUCUUCUGCUAAUGCCAUUCAUACAAUUUUCCACCUGUUCCAAAUUGCCUGGGAUAAUUUUUGUACCUUUUCCUGACUUGGUUUCAUUUUCUGACCUACUUGAUCCCAUUCCUGGGAAGUAAGGACCCCUUUUGGUGGAAAUUCAGGAUAACAUUCUAAUGUAACCUUAAGUAACGCUUGGAGCUUACCUUCUGAAAUCUUGAUUCUUUGACUAAGUACUAGAGACUUUAACAGCCUCAUAUAACAGGCGUGGGAAGACAGUUUUUGACCCAUAAUCCAGACUUUAACUCAUACUGCACAGCGUGCAGGUCUUCUGUUGAGUCUCCAACCUUGAUCCAUAUAGUCCAACUGGUGCUUGAAGAUCGUGGGGCACCAAAAUGUGACUGCCAGCAGCCACAAAUUAAUAUCUUCAUGGGUGAACUCUCAGAAGGGAAGUUGAAGACUGAGGGAGUAUGGGUGAUGAGAGAAAAGGAGAGGGGAAACCAUCAAGGAAGAAAGACUCAGAGCUUAAGGAUUCAACAGCCUGGGCUCCAGCUUGCAGUGCUCCUCUGAAGAUAGAGGAACACAAUGAAGAAAGACUCAGAGACAAGGGAAUAGUAGCCAAAAAGUAGGCCUUACAGCCAGUAGGCUCUGAGUGGAAUAGAGCUCUGGUGUUGAAGAGCUUUGGCUGUCAAGAGCUUCCUGGUGUUUGGGCAUACUCAUUUUUAUUAGGGUUACAAAAAGGAAGGGGGGAAGGAACAAGGGUGGUCUGAUGACAAUUUAGGUAUUCAUCACAAGCUGCACUCUGCCGGAUCCUAAGACAAUAGGUGUAGCUAAUGCUCCAAAUCAAGAGUACAUGUGACCUAAGGCAUCUAAGCUUGUUUGAUACAUAGGUUAAUUCAUUGUUAUUGGCAAAAGGAGAGACUGAGAUAUGCAGCCUGACUUCAGGCUCAGGGAUGAGUUAGGAACUUGACAUGGUUGAGGUUUAAUUUAACUCAAGAUUAUAGAAACCGAUCAUUAAAAAUAUCUUUUUGAGAACCCCUAAAAUAUUAUCAAGAUUAGUGUCUACCUGGACUCCUUCAUGAGUCCUUUGGAGGUGUCUUGGAUCCUUGCAUUGCUGAUAAGUUAAGUAAUUUAUAAUUCAUCCUACAAUAUUACUAUUUCUGUGUACAAUGUCCUCCUGGUUCUGCUCACUUCAUUUUGUAUCAGUUCAUAGAAGUCUUUCCUGGUUUUUCUGAAGUAGUUCUGUUCAUCAUUUCUUAUGGCACAAUAGUUACACUAUAAUCGUAUAACACAACUUAUUUAUUCAUUCCCUAGUUGAUGGACAUUCCAAGAGUUGCUAUAAAUAUUCUCGUAUAAAUGUCCUCUUACUCUUUCUUUUGUCUUUUUGGGAUAAAAACCUAUAAUUGGGAUUGCUGGGUCAAAGGAUAUUUAUACUUCUAUAGCCCUUUGAUUGUGUUUCUGAAUUGUUCUCCAGAAUGGUUCAGUCAGUUCACAGUUCCACCAACAAUAUAUUACUGUCCCAAUUUUCUCACAUCUCUUCUAACACUUAUCAUUUUUCUUGAAGAAUUCUACUCAGUUUUGCUGAGUAGCUUAUUCUUUGUUGUAAUCCUUUUUCAUCUACCUUGCAGAAUAUUAUAUUGCGAGGCUUCUGCUGCUUUGGUGUGGUAAUUGCUAGAUGUUUUGUGAUCCAAAAUUUAGCUUCAUAGUAUUUGAAUGGUUUCUUGUUGCUUAAUAUAUUUCCUCUUUGACCUGGGAACUGUGGAAUUUGUCUAUAAUACUCCUGGUCUUCAUUUUGAGAUUUCUUUUUAGGAGUGAUUGGUGAAUUUUUAAAAUUUCUAUUUGACUGUCUGGUUUGUGGAUCUCAAAGCAGUUUUCCUUGAUAAUCUCUUGAAAAAUGAUGGAUAGUCUCUUUCUUUGAUCGGAACAUUAAGACAAUUCAAAAUCUCUUUUUUCCAGUCAAGGUUUUUACAUAUGUAUAUUAUAAAUACAGAAAUAAAACACGCAACCAAACAAAAUCUAUACAUAAGUAUAUAAAACUGUAUAUUCUCGUGUAUAUAUUUUGGUUCCAGUCUUUGAUUUCAUCGGUAUAUGGAAGCCUUGGUAUGAAAACGAUUUCAUUGAUAUAAAUCAAAAGCUUAUAAAAAAAGUUAAAUGAUUUCCCUUCUGAGUCUCAUAGCUAAUGUGAUCCUCUUUUUUAAAAAUUUAUUUUUUAAAGUUUAGUUAAAGUUCCAAGGUCUCUUCCCCUCCUUGCCUCACGUGUUUAACAAAAAAAUACGUAUCUGUGUAAAAACAAAUGGUACUAUUUGUGUAUAUACACAUCUCUAUAACUAUGUCAUGCAUGUUUCUCCAAAAAAAAUAUUUUUGUUGCAGCAUAUAAUAUAGUCUUGGUUCUGCUCUUCUAAAUUACAUGUAGGUCUUUCCAUUGUUUUUAGCCUUUACAUUCUGUCUUAAUAUUCUGUUAACUUGUAAAGAACAGAACUAUCAAAGUAGUCAGAAAAACCACUCUUUAAUCAGGAAUAGGGAUGGGUUCAAUAUUUUGGCCACCAAACAGAGCUUGCACCCUGCGGACUCUGGGAACCAUAUCCCUGGGAGAAGGCACCCUGCUGAAUGCCAGCUUCAAUGCCAGCUCCGCCCUGAGAGAAACCACUGUGCUAAGUGCUGACUCCCCCUAAGAGGGUCAGAACGGGGGGUGGGGUGGUCCCUUUAUACCCUUUGAGGCAUUAGGUACAGCAAACAUGCAGGGACAAAAGCAAAUGAUAAAAAAAAGAGUAUUAGUAGCCAGCCUCAGACAAGAGUUUAGCUAUAACCUGACUUCAGAGAGAACUUUAAAAUAAUAAUGGAAGCUUCUAAAUCAAAUAAAAGGCACUUAACAUUUAUACUAUGUCCACAAAACCCACCCACUAAGGUCCCCAAACAGUUUAGGUCUUUAGUUCAAAGCAAAACAAGUGUGCCUGGCACUGGGGUUUCUUAAGGGGUAAACUGAGGCAUCCGAAUUUCAUGUUGACAAUUGUAACAAAUGAAAUUCUCUGGAGGCUAUAUAUAUUUAAUUUUAAAAAUUAGUUUUAAAAAUAUAUCACUCAAAGAAAUCUAAUUAGCCAGUGGAUUCCCUAAAUAGUCCAAACAGAUGCUAAAUAAUGUGAGCACAGCAAAAACAAUCAAACAAAUAAAUAAAUGAAUGAAUGAAUGAAUGAAUGAAUGAAUGAAUAAAUAAAUAAAUAAAUAAAUAAAUAAAUAAAGCCCAAGAGAGACAUAAGAAUAAGCUUCCAAUGUAGUGGACUUUACCACUAGCAGCAAUGCAGUGAUCCAGGUCAGUCUGGAGGGACUUAUGGGAAAGAACGCUAUCCACAUCCAGAGAAAGAACUGUGGGAGCAGAAAGGCAAAAGCAAAACUUAUGACAUGACUUGUUUUUAUGAGUAUAUGAUUUGGGGUUUCGGCUUUAAAAGAUUGCUCUGUGGUAAAAAUGAAUAAUGUGGAAAUAGGUAUCAAGUAUGUUAACUUGGAAAUAACACAGAACUACCGAAGUAUUCAGAAAAACCACUGUUUAAUCAGGAUAGGGAUAUGUUCAGUAUUUGGCCCUUUACUCAGAGUCUGGCACCACAACUUUUACAGGGUUUACACCCUGGACUCUGGGGACAUUAUCCCUGGGAGGGCCACCAUGCCAGAUGACAAGGACAAGCUUUGGGGUCUCCAACUUACAAGCUGGUCCUAAAACUUGGGGUUCAUCAGAUAUUACUAGGCUACAAGUUUGGGGUCUCUAGAUUCCAUGUUGACCCCCCCCCCCGUUUUGUUUGAUGCCGAAACACCACUGACCAAACAGACAAAUGGGUGAUACUAUAUAGGGUUGACUCUGUCACUAAUGGUGGGAAAUCUUGGGGUACACUUAUGGGCAGCUGGCAUUUGGGGGCCUCCCCAAAUAUCCAUGCAUUGACAUUUGAGCCAGAAAGGCAGGCAGUCUGUCUGCCUUUGGCAGAAUUUUAAAAACAUGACCCCAUUUCCCCAAUGUCUUUAGUUCUCUCAAAUCUGAUGGGGCUUGAUGUAUGUAAUGCCUUUGGCCUCCUCUUUCCUGUGGAGUUCUCCUUUUGUACAGCCAGCUUUAUUGCUGCAAGAGAAAACAACAGAAAUCCAUAAACACAUUCUCUAACAGGACUCGAUCAACUCCCAAUAUACUUACUCACUAUAAAGAUUAUCCACGCUGCUAACCAAUUCUAUUCAUGUCUAUUCUACACCAAUUAUAAAAUUAUCUUAGCUACAGGCUUAAUCAGAAAGAUUGCCUUCCUCUACCAUACUAACCAUAUAAAAAGCAACCCUACAAACUAUAGAAAUAUAAAAGCAAAAACUAAAAUCCACAUCACAGGUUAAUCGGGGCUCGUAAAUCUGAAAAGUGGCCCUUUCCCCUGUUCUGUGGCCAAAAAUUAAAAUAUCAUCUGAUACCAAGUCAAAUUCUAAUUGAAUAUUCUAUUCCCCAAAUCCCAAAAUCAUAUUCAAAAACUGCAUGACAAUUUCAAAACAAUUUUAAAAGUCUCCAAAUUAAAAUUAACUCCCCAAAUUCUCAAGAUAAAAAAUGCUUCUGGCUUUCCUUAAUUUUAAACCUCUCGCACACACACCCCUUUGGGGCGGUUGAGAUGCUAGGGAUUUUAAAAGCUGUUUUCAUUCACCUUUAACUACUCCACAACUGUAAUCAUGCUUUACUAGCUUAGACUUUUUACUCCUGUUAACUGUCACUUUGUAUGAAAGAAAUAAUUUUGCAAUCGAGUCAGCCAAUGCUGUCAAUAAAAAUUAUUGUGAAAAUAAUCCUCUUGUUGUGGCAAUAUCACAGGAUCUCCUGAUUUAACUGAGCUCUAGUCUUACUAAAUUAGUUUUGAGUGCACUUUUCAAUUUCCUGAGUAUCUAUCUAUUCAUUGGCAAUAUAGUGACUCUUCUAAGCCUCCCAGUAUGUCACACCGUCCUUUAGAGGAUCAACUCAGGACCUUCAGCUUUCCAGACUGACACACUGCCUACUCUGCCAGUCACUCAGCUUGGGCUUAGUCCCCAUCUGAAGUGGAUUGUUAAGCCAAUGAAUAGAUACUCAGGAAGUUGAAAUGUGUACCCCAAACUGAUUUAAUUAAGACGAGAACUCUGCCAAAUCAGGAGUAGUUUAACAAUAAUUUUUAUCCAUAAAAUGUUGACUGGGAAAAAACACAGAACUAUUAAAUAGUCAAAAUCACUCUUUAAUCAAGGGCAAAGGGGGUUCAAUGUAAUAGUAGGCCUUGAUGCAGAGCUACAUGCCACACAUGACUGCACAGUCCCAGGAUUGAACUCUGGCCAUUCUCAUCACUGACCUCUGGGAGGGCCACCGCACUAGAUGAUGACUCCUGGCAACAAAAGAAUUUGGGGAACCUGUAGACCAUUUGGGGAGACCAGGGGCAGGGAAAGAUGACUGACAAAAUUAUAGCUACAAAGAAAAUGGGAGUGUUAAAACUACAUUGACAGGAUACAACCAAGCCUAGGAAAGGAAUCAUAGCUAGAGGCUGGUAUGUGAGGGAAGGGGCUGCUUACAGGGGAUACUAAAUGGGUGGUCCCUGCUUGGGAAAGGGUCUCUGAUACAAUAGGGGAGAUUAACUAAGACAAAGAGGGUCCUUAGCAUCUGCUUAGUCCCACCCAACUAGGAUUGUCAUUCCCCUGAGGGUCUUCCACUCAGUCUGAAACUGCCAGCCUGGGAUUCCCUUCAGGGUGACAAGGAACAAGCACAAACUUUGGGGUCUCUAACCUACAAGCUAGUCCUGAAACCGGAUGUUCACCAGAUCCCAUUAGGCCACAAGUUUGGGGUUCCUAGAUUCCAGGUUGACAUGGUCAUGUGCCAAUUGUUAUGGGGGUGCAGAUGUGUACCCCUGGGGUUCGGGAAGGAUACCUUUUGCAAGAAGGCAAGACUCCAAAACUUAGCUUAAAAAAAAGAGAAAUUUAUUAAUUUAGGAGGUAAUGUUGAGAAUGGCCAGGAGGAUAGCUAGGUGGAACAGCAAGAUGGGGAACAGUUCCUUGGGAGGACAGCAUGAAUGGAAAGGCUGUUCCCCCAGACGACGUCAGUUCUGGGGAUUUUAUACUUUCCACAACAGAGAGUGCUAGUCACCCAGGCAUCUAGCGAGAUGGGGUGAUCAUCCUCAGGCCUGGGGACAUAAAGAUUCCCUAGUUUUUAGGGAACAAACAGAUGUCUGAUAGGAUCUAGUUGUAGCCUGGAGGUGCAUCUUUCUGUCCAUCUUAAAUCUAGAGGACGAUCAAGGGAAGAUAGUCAUCUCAGGACCCUAGAGGGGUCAUUGGGUGUUUUUAGGCUCAGAGUCACGAGGAUGUAAGGGAGCAAGAGAGUUUUCCCUGAUAAUAGUUUGCUUGGGUUUUGGGGGUACAGUGCCCAUGUCACCAGUGAUUAUUUACCAAGGGAAAAGGAUGUUAAAAAAUGGGUGCUAAUUCAGGCCAAUCUUCUCUACUUAAAAAGGAAAGGGAAAAAUUAAAGGUAACUUACUAUAAAAAAUAACCAUCAGGAUUCUCUAGUCUUUUUAAGAAAACAAAAACUUAUCUAUUGUAAUGGUUGCACCCUAGAAACUUACCUUAAAAAUUCCAAAAAUCAGGUCCUUUUACUUUUUCAAGAACUAAAACCCAUAACAUUUUGUCUGCAAACACAAAACUUAGGAUUACUAAGGAAAAGCUUAAAAAUUAUCUUUAAAUCAGAAUACCUAUUCAAAUCCCUUCUUUCCCUCUUAUUUUUUUAGUCAUGGCUCAAAAAUUGCAUUUCUUUCAGCUGGGCCCUAUACCUCUCUCUUUUGUCUAAGGCAAAAAUGGCUAAGAGAAAAUUUGUUGGGUCAAUUUAAAAGUGUUCAGGGUCAGAGGCACUGAGGCCACAGGCUAGAGGCCUGGGGUUCUCUCUGCUUCAGGGGUGCUUCCUACACACCCAACAGUCAGGGGAAUCUGCUUUGGUUACUGUUUCCCUAAGCUGAAUCAGAAUUAUCUGCCCAGCUGGCUGGGCAUGCAUGAUUAAAAAACAGGAAAAGACAGAAAAUGUAAGAAAAGGGAUAGUCAUGGCUAAAGCAAGAAAGAUUUACAAUAACAAGGAGGAAGGGGGAAGGGAACUACUUACUCUAGAGUGUCCUUAGGUUGUUGUUGUUGUUGUUGUUGUUGUUGUUUUCAGAAAAGGAAUUUGAGAUCUUCCACUGGCUCACAGGAAUAAGUGGCUUCUGUUCCCCCUUCACCACCUGUUUCUGGAGGGAUAAAGGGUUUAAUACAAGAGACAUGAGUCCUGCCCCUCUCAUUUUACAGCUGUGGGGGUGGAUAAAAUGACUCUAUGGGGCCCUUCCCAUCGAGGUGUUAGCUGGUUUGAUCCAGUCCACUUUUUCAGGUAUACCAAAUCUCCUGUUCUGACUGGGUGGAGGGAUUCCUCCUUAUCCCCUCUUGAGGAUUUGGGAAGGAUAUGAUUAGGGUAUUCUCUCAGAACCUGGUGGAUCAGACUGAAAUGCUUAGAAAUCCUAACAAGGCUGUGGAUUUCUGUAUCUAAAAGGACAUUAGAGAUUAGAAAAGGUCUCCCAUAUAACAGUUCAAAUGGGCUCAGCCCCAAGGCAGCCUGAGGAGCCAUCCUGAUUCUGGUCAGGGCAAUUGGGAGAGCUUGGACCCAGUCAAUCUUUGCCUCCUCACAUAGUUUGGUGAGGGCUCUUUUUAGGGUCUGAUUCAUACAUUCUGUUUUUCCCGAAGAUUGGGGAUGCCAGGCUGAGUGUAAAUGAUAAGUGAUGCCCAAUGCCUUGGAAACCAUCUGUGUGAUUUGUGAAAUAAAGUCAAGACCAUCUCUUUGGAACAUUUUUGGAAGGCCAGAUCUGGGAAUAAUUUCAUUAAGUAAGGCCUUUGUGACAUCUUGUGCUUUCUCUGAUCUUGAAGGGAAUGCUUCAGGCCAACCUGUAAAAGUGUCAACAAAGACUAAUCUUGUACCUUUUGCAAGGUGGUAGGUGGGUGCAAUCUAUCUGCCAAUCCUCACCUGGUGAUUCCCCUCUCCUUUGGAUGGGCUUAAGAGCUCCAGUGCUGUUGGUUUGGGCCCAGAGGGCACAGGAUCCAAAGAUCUAUCGGAUGGUUUUAGAGAUGCCUUUGCCUAUGAAAAGUGGCUUUAUCAAAACAGUUAAUGCUUCUCUGCCCAAAUGUGUGGGGUUAUAUAACCCCAUAACCAAUUUCCAUAUUAAGUUCUUUGGGAGGAGCAGUGGUCCAGAGGGAGAACACCACCACCUGGUGUCUUCAAGGGUAAAUCCCUGAAGUUCUGCCUGUUCAGUUUCCUCCUUAAGGUCUCAAGAAGAUGCCAAGGUAUCCUUUUCUCCUUGCCCCUUGGCUGGACCAUCAUGCUUUCCCACUUGGUGGCCAGAGCUAACUGACUUCAUUACCUAAGAUGCUCUCUAAGAGAAUUCUUGUUUAUAGAUAAAGAGCCAGUCUUUACCCAGCCUCUAGGUGUCCUUAACCCCUUAUCCUCAACAAAGACCAAAAGAUGUAGACAAAAGAGAGAAGGACCAACCCAUUUUCAUAGCCUCAGGGAGGGCCAAGAGGGGAAACCAUUUCAAAAUUCAGUACCACAACUCUAUAUUCAUUUUCCACAAUAUCGAUUCUGAGAUAGAAGAAUGGCAAGGGCUAGGCAGUUGGGAUUAUAUGAUUUACCCAGGGUUACACAGCUAGGCAGUGCCUGAAGCCAGAUUUGAAUCCAGGUCCUCAGGGCUCUAUGGUGCUCUAUGCACUUGGGUUACCUAGCUACCCUGAUUUUUAAAAUUUAUUAAAAAACAAGCAAACCCUAUCUUCUCUCUUAAAAUAGAUACUGAGUGUUAUUCCAAGGCAAAAGAGCAGUAGGGGCCAGGCAAUUCGGGUUAAGUUGUUAUAGCAGAAUGGCUAAGGAAAACACACUGAUCUCAGAAUUCUGGAAGAGAGCAUGGACUUAGGUGAAAUAGUUUCCAAAAUCUAAGCAAGAAAAACAGAGUUUCUAUAGGUUUUCUCUAUGUGCAGAGGCUAUGGAUGAGGGACCAGGGGAGGGGUAAAACAAACAGGUCUUGGGAGCCCUUGACUGAAGCCAGCUGGUGUCUGUUGCUAAUAUCUUGUGAGGUAGCCAAGAUUGAACAGGCAGGCAUGCCAAGGACAUACCAAGACUUGCCAGAAAGGAGGGGCUUGGGGGAUAUGCAUGAUAGGUUAGCAAGAGUCAGCUAAUUGUAGGUGAUUUAUUGGGAAGAGGAGAGGGAAGAGCAAGGAGGGGACUCAGUCAGCAAAAACUAGUUAAUUAAAAGUGAUGGAUUAUUUUGUAGCCGGAAGUGAGGUUUGCAGUCCUGAGACUGCUUCUACUAAGUGACUUGCCCUGGGUUACACAGCUAGGAAGUGUGUAAGGGCAGAUUUGAACCUAUAAUAUUGUCAACAUGGAAUCUAGGAACCCCAAACUUGUGGCCUAGUGAGAUCUGGUGAACCCCAGGUUUCAGGACUAGCUUGUAGGUUGGAGACCCCAAAACUUGUCCUUGUUCCCUGUUCCCCUGAGAAUCUCCCCUGAAGGGAAUCCCAGGCUGGCAGUUUAAGACUGAGUGGGAGACCCUCAGGAGAAUGACAAUCCUAGUUGGGUGGGACUAAGCAGAUGCUAAGGACCCUCUUUGUUUUAGGUAGUCUCCCCAAUUGUAUCAGACCCUUUCCCAAGAAGAUUCACACCUGGGCAGGAAGCAUCCUUUAGUAUCCAUGGUAGGCAGCCCCUUACCUCAUAUCCCAGCCUCUAGCCAUGAUUCCUUUCCCAGGCUUGGUUCUAUCCUGUUGGUGUAGUUUGAACCCUCCCAUUUCCUUUGUAGCUACAGUGAGGUCAUUUAUCUUUCCCUGCCCCUGGACUCCCCAAGUGGUCUAGAGGUUCCCCAAAUUCUUUUGUUCCUGGGAGUUGUCAUCUAGUAUGGUGGCACUCUCAGGGGUCAGUGACCAGAGCAGUCAGAGUUCAAUCCCUGGACUCUGUGCAGUCCUGUGUGGUGCGCAGCUCUGGGUGGAGGCCUUCUAUUACAUUGAACCCCUUUCCCUUGAUUAAAGAGUGAUUUUGACUAUUUAAUAGUUCUGUGUUUUUUCCCAGUCAACAACCUCCAAUCUCUCGGCCUGAUGCUCUAUCCAUUGAGCCACCUAGCUACUCCAUGUUUUAAAAAAUUAACCAGCCUAUCAUUUCUUAUUACAUAUACUUAGUAUUCUAUUACAAUCAUAUCCCAGAACUUGUUUAGCUAUUCCCCAACUGAUGAGUAUCCCCUCAAUCUCCAGUUCUUUGCCACAAUGAGAGUUGUUAUGUACAUAUAGGUUUUUUUUUCUUUUCCUGAUCACCGUGGAAAACAGACUUAAAGGUGGGAUUGCUGCGUCAAAGGGCAUACAUAAUUUUAUAACUCUUUGGACGUAAUUUCAGAUUGCUCUCCAAAAUGACUGGGUCAAUUCACACUUAACACAAACAGUGUGUAACAUUUGUCAUUAUGCCUUUUUAUCAUUUUAGCUAAUCUGAUAGGUGAGAUGUGAUAUCUCAGCAUUGUUUGGAUGUGCAUUUCUCUAAUUAGGAAUAAUUUAGAGCAUUUUUAUAUGACUAUAUAAUAUAUAGAUUCUAUUUCUUGUUCUAAAAACUGUUCAUAUCCUUUGACCAUUUAUUAAUCGUGUAAGGGGUAAGUUUAGGGGUUUUUGACUAAUAUAUUAUCCUUAUGGUUGCCAGGGAUUAAUUCAAAUCCCAAUAAAAAUACUCAAGUCAGUUUGGGAAUUUUAUGGUGGUUUAAUUAAUAUAGAGAGAAGGAAUUAAGAAGAAGAGAGAGGGGAAAGGGUAUAAGAUUUCUCUGGCCUAGCCUAAGCCAAGGGGUAUUCAGAGAGCUCAGGCAUGAGGCCUCCUCAGAAGACUAAAACUAGCUCUGCUUCCUAAGAGGAUAAUGUUUUUGGAAAGGUAAAGGAAAAUGGAAUCAGCCUAAACUCCGAGAGAGCUCAGAUGCCUCACCUUUACCCUGCUACUGAGCUUCUCCCAGGACUGUAUCAAGGACGCUUACCACCAAACCCAGACAAUAGCUGCAGCCAUGCCAAGACGCCUCCUCUGCCCAACUAGAGCCAUAGCCACCUCUCCAAGAAAAGAGCCUGGGAGAGAGGAAGUGACGCGAAAUAUAUAGACCAUUUUUUACAUCACUUCCUGUGUCUCACGUGUAACAAUGGUAGCUUAAGCUCGACUUAAGACAGCCCAGGAGUCUGUCAGUUGUUUCUGAUUUGUCAUUUGCUAGCACAUCUGUCAUAGGCCAUCCUCCUAAAUACUUAAUCCUUAAAUAGGGGUGUAGACAUUCCUGUUUGUUAGACUAGGCAGAGUGGAGUAAAUCUUAAAAUUCACAAUUGGGGAAUAACUAAUUCUUAUAAAUUUGACAAGUUUCUCUAUAUAUUUGGGAUAUGAGACCUCUAUCCAAGAAACUAUAACAUUCCCCUCAGUUUUCUGCUUUCCUUCUAAUUGGAUGUCUUAAUUUUAUUUAUGGUAAGCCUUUUUAUUUUAAAGUAAUCCAAAUUUAUUUUACAUCUCAUAUUGAUCUUUAUAGCUUGUUUAUUUGUAAAUUCUUCUAUCCAUAAAUCUGAUCUGAUCUAAUUUGCUUAUGAUAUCUCCCUUUAUGUGUAGGUCAUGUAUGCAUUUGGUCCAUAUCCUGGUAAAUGUACACUUUUGCGCUAUACCUAGUUUCGACCAGACUGUUUUCCAGUUUUUUGACAAUUUUUACCAAAAAGUGAAUUCUUAUCCACAAAGCUUAGAUCUUUUUAUUUGUCAUACACAAGGUUGCUAUUUCCUGCAUGUCUGUUCUGUUCCACCGAUUUCUGUUUCUUAGCCAGUUCCAGAUGGUUCUGAUGAUUACUGCUUUAUGAUAGUUUAAAAUAUGAUACUGCUAGACUUCCCUCCUUUAUAUGUUUUUCAUUAAUAACUUUAAUAUUCAUGAUAUUUGUUCUUUCAAAUGAAUUUUCUCAUUUUUUUCUGAUCUUACUAAAAUAAGUUUUUGGUAAUUUAAUUGGGUAAAUGAACAAGUAAAGUGGUUUAGGUAGGGUUGUUUGGCUCUGCCUACUUGAAUUCAUAUUUUUCCAAUUAUUUAAAUCUCCCAGGGAUAUACAGCUAUGAAGUAUCUGAGGCCACAUUUGAACCUAGGACCUCCCAUCUCUAGGCCUGGCUUUCAAUCCACUGAGCCACCCAGCUACCUGCCUCAACUAACUUUUUAAUUGUGUCUUUAGGAUUUUCCACAUGUACCAUGUACCAUGUUGCGGGAGAGCUUUAUGCUAAAAACCCAAGGUUUGUGACAGGUUAUCCUUUGCAUGAAUGCAGGACUCCAAAACUUAGCUUAGAAAUAAAAAGAGAAAAUUAUUAAUUUAGAAGUCAUGUUGAAAUGGCCGGGAGACAGUGUGCAGGUAGAGCACUGCCUCACAGAGGAGAUGGGGUUUGGGGAUUUUAUGCCCCUUUCACAGCAGGGGUUACAGGAUAAGGGAAAGGGAGAUGGGGUGAAUCAGGAAUGAGGUUAUUUCAUUGAGACCUAGGGGAAAGCCCAAAAGGUGGUGGUGGUGGGGGAGGAUGCUCCUAGAAGGGAAUUUUUCAUGUCCCCUUGGACUUAGAACACUUCUGGAGUUUGGGGUGUCUAGGGAAGUCUGUACCGCCAUAUCAAUAUCAUUUGCAAAAAGAGAUCGUUUUAUUACCUCUUUGUCUAUUAGAAAUCCAUUAAAUUUCUUUCUCCCUUUCCUUCUUCAUUCCUGAAAUGGCAAACAAUCUGAUAUAGAUUUUAUAUGUGUAAUAAUGUAAAACAUCUUUCCAUAUUACUCUAACUUUUUCUAAGCCACUUAUUCUUUAUGAUUAAGCUAUUUAGACUCCAGUUAAUUUUAAUGUGUUUCCAGAGACUCUUAUUAAAUAUAAUUUUUAUUGCAUUAUGAUCUGAAAAGGAUCUCAUGGCACCUGUAUCUCUGAGAGUUCAGAUGAUUUCAGCAACUCUUAUUCCUCAAACUGUUGAGAAAGAUUGAGAAACCCUAUGAUAGACCAAUUGUCUGUCUGGAAACGGUUACAAUUCCACUUGAAAGAAGAUUUCCAGAAAUCCCAUGGAAAACACUUACAGUGCUGGGGUUUUAGAAAGACCGAGAGCUAGAGAGAGUACUCCUCUCCAGAGUGGUUACAUGGGAAAUGUUCACUCAGACUGUAGGGAUUGUUACAGCCCCAAAGAACACAACAAUGUUGGUGAUGAUGAGAUGCAAUUGUGUCCGGGUCUCCUUCUUUGUAAUUUCCUUUGACCUCGAAUUGCCCUGACCACCCAGUCAGGGAAAAGUCCAUUGUUCCCUAGAGUGUAUCCCAAGUGAGUGAGCCAGUGUGCAACAGCUCAGGAAAUACCUGAAACAAGAUGUCUAAUCAAGACUUUUGUUGUGCAAGUCUGGAUCAGCUCAAACCCAUCUGGGCACCUUCACCACUAUAAUCCCUUUUCCUCUUCUCCUGUAUGACCCUUAUUUUGUUCUGACUUUUACUGGCAUGAUCCUUUAAAGGUUAUAUAUCCAUGGAGAAAGUACCAGGAAAUGUGAAUUCCAGUUUGCCCAGCAGUUUUGAUCAGAUGCUGUUAGGGGUAAAACUUAUGGUUGGACUGGAUAUAUUUUAGUUGGUAGCCAGGGAUUUAAACUCUAAUUUCCAAUGAAAUACUCACGUCAGAAUGGAAUUUUAUGGUGGUUUAUUUACAAUAGAGUGAAGAUAUUAAGGAAGAAAGAAAGAGAGGAAAAAGAGGGAGAUACCAGGCAGGAGUUUAGAGGUCCCAGUUGGGGGGGGAGGGGAGCAGAGGAUUAAAUCUAGCACGGCUUUCAGCCACAAGGCCUCCAAGAUGAGGGGCCUCCUCAGAGGCUGGUGCCUCCAAAAAGCCCAGGGAAAAGGAGUCCCAAGAGAUGGGCCUCUCCAAAGGCUGGUGCCUCCAGAAAAGCCAAGGAAAGGGGAGUCAGCCUUGCACUCACCACGUGACCGUCUAAGGGAAACAGUCUGAGGUCUCACGCUCGAGCUCCUCCAAGUUAAGUUCCACUUCCUGUGUCUCACAUGUACCAGUGGUGGCUUAAACAUGGAUUUGGACAGCCCAGGGGGGUCAGUCAGUUGUCUCUGAUUUGUCCGUUGCUAGCAUACGUGGGUCAUAGACCUUCCUUCCCCACACUUAAUCCUUAAGCGGGGGUGUAUACAUUCCUGGUGGCUAAGCAGAGUGGAGUAAAUCCAAAAUUCACAAUAGGGAUGUUUUCUCUCAGUAACUCACAUUUCCCACUUUAUCAAACACACUAUCGUUGAGUGAGAGUGUGAAUGUGUAUGUGUGUGUGUGUGUGUGUGUGUGUAAAUCUCUUCUCUCUGGGCUUUUUCAUCAAUCUAUUUUUAAUCAAAAUCAAAGAAUUUUUAUGACUUCUGCUUUAUAGUAUAAUUUGAGGUCUGAAUGUCUUCCAUCACUUCAGCUACACUUCUUUUCAUCAUUUCCCCUGACAUUCUAGAUAUUUUGUUUUUCUAAAUGAAGAUUGUUAUUAUGUAUUGAAAGAAAAAAAACUGGGCACAGAUUGGAGCAGUACUGGCUUUAUUUUUAUUUUUUUAAACUCUUACCUUCCAUCUUAGAAUCAGUACUGUGUAUUGGUUCUAAGGCAAUAGGAACAGUAAGGACUGGGCAAUGGGGGUUAAAUGAUUUGCCCAGGGUCACAUAGCUAGGAACUGUCCGAGUCCAGAUUUGAACCCAGAACCUCUCAUCUCUCUUGGCUUGGCUCAAUCCACUGAGCUGACAUUUCAAAAGGUUUCUAAACAUUGGGGAAUGAUUUGCCUCUUGUGGUUAAACAUUUUGGAAGAUUUCCAUUUAUUUUAUAGGAUCUCAAGUAUCAGAUGUAUGCACAUGAUGACAAAUGCACACAUAUACUAAUCUACAUGAGCAAGCUCUUUUCUAAGGCAUAGAUAGUAUGCCUAAUGUUGGAUUUCCUGUGAAUAGGCAGCAGCUGCUGUGAGAUGCCAGCGGCUGCUGGAGCUCAGCUGAAGGAAACAAAGGGGCUGUUGCUGGUGGUGGUCUGCAGUGGCAGGGAUGGCCAGGAGAGGAAACUCAUCCAAGCUCAGUGUCUCAUACUCAAAGUAUGGCUUUUGAUGAGCCAUGAUGAUGAAUGGUUCAUUGGGUGCCUUGGAGUCACAAGGCGUUAAACAGAGAGAAAGGUCUAUAUCAUAAGUAAAAUGGCGGCCUUUAUAGAACCAACUCCCUCACUUCUCUCAUCAGAAGUGUGAGAAGUGGCCUUGCAAGAGCUGCAAAGGCUCUGGACACCAGACCCUACUGCUUGUGUCCUUCAGUGGGGUGCUUUGCAGCAAGUGGAGGGAGCAAAGGUUUCUUAGGAAAAUGCCCCAUGUAGAAGUGGAAAUUUUGUAUCCUUUGGACUUCAUCUCCCAGAAUUCUCCCCUUGUCCCAAGGUUCCUUUUUCCCUUUCUGUUCAUGUGCGUUCUGUAUGUUAUGUUUUAUAAGCUGUGGGUAAUGCCUCCCUCGUUCUCUUCCACGUGGGAGGCUGGUGAACUCUCUGUGUUUCUCUAGCCUUUUAUUUUCCUUUUGCUUCAAGUUAAAUAUUAAUACCUCUUAUUAAACAUAAUACUUGGAGUAUUGAAUAUUAAUUUUUAAAAUUUGCACCUAAGAGCAGAGUCCUCUACCGGGGGCAGGGGAGUAAAGGGGGAAGACAUGAGUCAAAUACCCUUGUUUGCUCACUAGUGACAGGAAAGAUUUCAAACUAUCAGUUUUCAAUAAGGAAUUCAUAAUGGAUUAACUGAGGACAUUAAUAAUGGACGUUUCCCUAUGUGUGACUCGAAUAGUUGGCUGAGGGUUCAGAGAAGGAGGUCAGGUUUCUGAGAGGACUUACAGUUGAGGCCAGAAGAGCAGAGCAGAGAAAAGAACAUCACCAGAAAGAACAACUUAAGUAGGAUCUCCAUUCAAAGUUCUAAAAUUUCAAUAGCUUCCUAUUUCAAAAAGGUCACCCAUAGAGGCACCACCAUCACUUUCCUUGACAGAGAGCAACCUUGACAAAGAGAUACAGGUGCAGCUGCUCAGGAAUGGCUCUUUCUGUUAGGAAUCACAAUUCGGGAAGAAACUGACUGUGCAUAGAGUUGUCAACAAGACAAAAGCAGUAGAAAAUUCAAAUUAAAGAGAAAUGUUCAAGUCAACACAGAAAGAAAACCCAAAAGAAAAUAAACAAGUUAAAUGUUCACAGCUUUUAAAUCAUCAUUCAUGUUUCCACCUUGUGAGGAGAAGAGACUAGAAGAAUCUGUUCUUUACACACAGACAGGGGACAAUGAAAGAUGUUAGAAGGCAGUUCAUAGGUAUCUUAAUGAGGGGGGAAGCCCUCUUAGGAAAGAGCAAUUAAAAGUAGAGUGAAGUAUAGAAAAAGGCUGUGUUACUGAAGGUGAAAUGGAGCAUCAGUGAAGACUAACAAAACUUAGAGUUUGCUAUACAAGAAGGAAAAGACAAAUGAGCUCUUGUUUGAUUUCAGACAGAGUAGAGAGAGGCAACAGGAUGACAAUGUGGCAGUCAGGCUCAGAUUUGACUUAAAUGACUUUGUAUGAGAAACUGAGUCAGGAAGACUUACCUCCUUAUUCCCAAAUAGUAGCACCCCACCCCCACCCCAGCACCACUCUCCACCUCCUUCUCUUACCCACACACAGGUAUUUGCCUGUAAUAGGAAAUGAUAAGAGCUGUCAGAGGUCAUUCAUUCUGAUGGACGGUUUCACAACCUCAGAAGAGAUCUGACAUUCAUGCUUGAAAAAAAGACCUUACAAAUAUUUCAAAAUAAGUCCACAGAAUUCAGUCUCAAAUAGCAACUAAAGCUUAUUGGUAAAUGUAGCCUGAGUAUCAAUGAUAAUGUGGGCAGACACCAUAGAUUUUAUUGUGGUUCUUUUGCAAGUGCUAGAAAUCAUAUUAUGUGCCCUUCAUUCUAACCUAAGAAGUGUAAGAAAAAGAAAUAGUCAAGGUAAGAGAGAUAGGAAUUACAAGUAGAGGUUUGAGGCACAGUAGUAGCAGUAUACAUGCAGUUAGUGGGUAGGACAAAGGUGAAAUAAAAGAGAAUUUAAUAAAGUGGUGACCCAAAAUAGUCUAAAAGGAAACCAAAGAUUUAAAAAGUAUUACAUUGAGAGUGGGAGACAUCCUAGUUCCUCUACUAGCAGUAAUGUGACAAUCCAGGACAAUUCAGAGGGACUAUUGAGAAAGAACACUAUCCACAUCCCGAGAAAGAACUGUGGGAGUGGAAACACAGAAGAGAAACAACUGCUUGAUCACAUGGGUCGAUGGGGAUAUGAUUGGGGAUGUAGACUCUAAAUGAACAUCCCAGUGCAACUAUCAAUAAUAUGGAAAUAGGUCAUGAUCAAUGACACAUGUAAAACCCAAUGGAACUGUGCAU